UACGUAGGGCGCAAGCGUUGUCCGGAAUUAUUGGGCGUAAAGAGCUCGUAGGCGGUCUGUCACGUCUGCUGUGAAAAUCCGGGGCUCAACCCCGGACUUGCAGUGGGUACGGGCAGACUUGAGUGCGGUAGGGGAGAUUGGAAUUCCUGGUGUAGCGGUGGAAUGCGCAGAUAUCAGGAGGAACACCGAUGGCGAAGGCAGAUCUCUGGGCCGUUACUGACGCUGAGGAGCGAAAGCAUGGGGAGCGACAGGAUUAGA
rnacentral:rRNA from 1 species